AGCCCGCACAAUGACUUCCAGCUGGAGCAGCCCAGCCAGCCUGCGCGCUCACUCGCUUGCUUGCGCUGGGCUUCAGGGCGCCCGGGUGAGUUUUUUUCUCUCCCUCUCGUUUUUUUUUUUUUCCCAGGCUCUCGCGGGUUUCCCCUGCCAGGGAAUCCACUCGCUGUAGUUUUCUAGGGCUCUGGUCCCAGUCCUUUCUGAAGCGCGCUUGCAGGCUGUCUUCCUCAGUCGCCCUCUCCCUGGGUGCUGUUUUGCUGGGCAGCAUCCCAUGCUAGGCUCGGCAGACAUUCUGGCGGUUGGGUUCGGCCCUUACAGCGCUAACACCUGCAGAGUCGAGGCUCCUGCCAAAAGGCAGAAAGCAAAGGAGGAAAAAAUUCAUUGUCAUAAUAGCGAAAAUGAUAAACCUCAGCUGUUUAAGAGAAGAAUGUCUGAGUAGCUGUUGAUUAUCUCCCAUAAUCACAAAACAACUUUUUUUUAAAAAGAAUUUGCACUGUCUGUUAAAACGCGGUCAUUGUUUUGCUUUCAAAUCGAACUUCACGACAGUUAGCAACUUCAAGAACGCUUCCAAAUGGAUAAAUCUUUCCAGAAGAUUUCUUGCUUCAAAACAGCUGCAUUUUUGGAAGAAAGUCCACAACUGACAACUAAGCAAAACCCUCCUGGUGGAUAGCAUAAAUCUGCUUUGUUGAAGCUGCUCAUUUGUCUGAUCUAUGAGUCCAGAAGAUGCAAACUCCCUUCCCAGCUUAUGCAAAAAUACUUCCAGUAAAAACAAGCCCUUUGGCCCUUUUCUUUUGUCAGUCCAGAUUUCAGCAUGUUCUUCGCUUUGUUAUUCAUCAUUUUAUGUAUUUGGACCCAUCCUCAAACAGACUUUAAACCGUUUAAAGGCAAGGAGGGACUCUUUCGUAAACCUUUAAUCCCCUGGCCCAGCUGAGUAGAUGCACAGUGUCUUUUGAUGAUGGUGAUAUGGAAUGAUUAAUAACCACACAAGGCAUUCGGUUGGUCAAGUCACUGUUUAUUGGCUCAAAAUAAUCCUUGGUUUCUGUAUGUCUACAGCUCACUUCCUAAACAGUUAAAUCCGGAGAAGUCUAAUAGAUAAUAGUUGGUGAUCAUAAAUAUAAAUAACCAAUACAUUAGAAUGUGUAGUCAAAAUAGGAAUACUUGCUUUUCACUUACUUCCCACGGGUCGCUGCUGGUGGUAGUCAACACAAAUAAAAAUUUGAACUCAUUUUGUUAUUCAUCUAAAAUGAGAAACUCGGUGAAACAUUGAUUUUCUAAAAUUGCUGCAUAUUUAAAUGUGAUUAUAAUUGCUUUUUAGCAUUUUAAAAUUGUAACAUCGAUACCAAAUGCUUAAGAAUCUAAAGAAUAGUCUAUUGGGGCUGGCCUAUUUUGUGUAAAAUGGUCUGUAUCAUAAUGGAUGACUGAUUAUCCCAUCCACAUUAUUUGGAUUCACUUAAUACUAGGUUUUAACGUUAGGAGAAUAAAACCCUCAAGAAACCUAACAUAGAUUUGUAUAUUUAGUUUUCUCCUUCCUUAUCAUCUUCCACCAGACUUACAGGUGUUCCACCUGCUUGUAGUUUCGGUAAUAAUACCAGCUGGCGGUGGUUCCUAACUCUAGCUACACUUUAAAAUUACCUCGUGCAUUUAAAAAAAAAAUGCAGUUGUUUAGGUUCUUCCCCUAGAUAUUUUAAUUUACAAGGUUUGGGAUGUGGCCUGGGCACCGAUUUUUUUAACUUUUUAUUUGAAUGUAGACUUACAGGAAGUUGCAAAGAUAGUACAGAGAGGUCUGAUAGAGCCUCCACUGUUGGUUACAUCCCGCAUAGCUAGAGCACAAUAAUAAAGCCAGGACAUUGACACUGAGAUAAAAUGUGCCUGUGAUUCUGUGUCACCUUAUCCCUGAAGACUCUUGUAAUCAUUACCACAAUCAAAAUACAAACUAUUUCAACACCACGAAGAUCUCUCUCAUACAGUCCCUUUAUGGUCGUCCCUUUCUUUCCCCCACACCAUCCCUAACCCUUUGCAACCAUCAGUCUGUUCUCCAUUUCUAUAAUUUUGUCGUUUGGGGAAUGUUUUAUAAAUUGGUCCUCACAGCUUGUGACCUUCUAAGAUUAGCUCACCAUCCCCCCCACCCCCCCACCCCACCCAACUCAGCAGAAUGCCCUAGAGAUUUAUCCAAGUUAUUGCAGGUAUUUCUAGUUUGUUCCUUUCUGUUACUGAGUUCUACACUAUGGGUGUAACACAGUUUGUUUAAUCAUUCAGCAUUCACCUAUCAUACAUUUUGGUUCCUUCUUUUUUUGGGCGGGGGGAGUGCCUAUUACAAAUAAAACUGUCUUGAAAAAUUGCUUGCAGGUUUUUCUGUGGACCUAAAUUUUCAUUUCUCUGGGAUAAAUGUCCAGGAGUGUGAUUGCUGGGUCAUAUGGCUCCAGGGACCUACCUGACUUCCUAUUCAUGCUGAUCCCACUGAGACCCUUAUCAACCCUGACCUGUUCCCCAUGUGCCUCUUGGAUCUGCCUUAUGUUCCAGGUAAUGAAGCUGAUGCUUAGAGAGGUUGAGUAAUCCACCCAUGUCUCUCUGACCCAGGUCUGACCACCAUACUAUUGCCUGCAGAUGAAGAGGAGCAACAUAUUGUAUCCUGUGUUGCUCAAGAGAGCAGAAUUAGGACUUAGAAUAGCCUUCUAAGAAUUGCUCUGUGCCACCAAAUGGGUGGCAGACUUCUAGACAAGUUUUCUAAACUUGUCAGCCUCAACUACAAGUGAGCUGGUGAGAGAAAACAAACAUCACUAUCCAGGGGCUUUUGCUGGACUUACUGAAUGUAACAGAGAUCGGAUUGGAUUGUCUCUAAUGUCUGUUUCACGAAUAGAGUUCUGUAAAUAGUCUGUCUUUUCUGAAGCCAUUGUAUUUUCAGUAUUAGGUCAUUUAGUUGACUGAAAGUGUGUAUUCUGUAAAGAGAGAAAGGGAUGGGGAGAGAAAGGAGACUGUUACUUUUAUUUUCAUGUCCUUUGCUCUCCCACAUGCAUACUCCACCUCUAGCUCUUACACUCAAACAUCUACACUUGCAGCUUACUGUAGAUGCCACUGUCCUUUUCCACAUUUGCACAAGUAGAUUUCUCACUCCCAACCCUUAUUUUGAAAAUAAGGUGUUUCUACAUCUUUCAUUUUAUUUUUAAAAAUAAAAGUUGGACCACAGUUUAGAUAUAUUAAUCACUUUUCCCAGAACUCAUGUUUGGUCAUCUAAAAGCCUGUGUCUAAAAGUUGUGAGGAAUAGUUGAAGCUUUCAUCAAUGUAAAGGUUGGGUAAUACUCUACUGCCAAAAGUAGUUAAUUAAUUUCUGCAGAGUUAAGGUAGUAGAAAUGGGAGCUCUCAUCUGUUUUGAGAAAUGUGUACAAAAUUAAUGUUUUCCCAGAGAAGCAUUUUCCAAUGUCUCCAUCUAAUUUGGCUCCAUUCUGAAGAGAAGCACAAUGAUGCUUCAGCAACUUGAAAUUUUACUAAGUGAACUAACUAAUCCUGCCUUUGAAACAGUGGACUGGGGCUCAAAAGACAAGCUUCUUAGACUAAUACUGGGCACUUUCUCUUUUCUCACUCUCUCUUUAUUCCCUUUUCUUUCUCCUUCUCUUGUUCCAUCUUUUCACUUUGGAAACUAUUAGGUUUCAAAAAUGCAUCUGUAGCUGUUUAUUUUACAUGUGCCUGAUUUUAUGAGUUUAUGGGCUCCUGAAAAUUAAAUUAAUUUUAAAUGAGCUUUAAUUACUAAUGCUUUGGGCCAUUGCCUUUAACAAAGUCAACAUAACAAUCAGGGUUACCUUAGUUUGUCUCUUUGAAGAAUGUAGUCAUUCAUUUGGGCUCUUAUUGAGCAGAGCAGCUUUCUAACUGGAAAAACAAAUAAAUAAAAUAAAACCACUGCUAUAUUUGAAUGCCUGAAUUUAUUUCUUUUCCAGAAAUAGCCACCUUUGAUUUAAGAAACAGGAUUUUAAGUGUGCAUUAAAGGAUUCAUUUUGUUAAUAAUAUCUUGUUAUUUUUCAGAAGAGGAGAGGAUCCUAUUCAUAAUAUUAUGCUAUGCAAAUACAGAGGCAGAGGUUGAAUCAUGACCUGAAGGUCUGAAUUCUGUUCUUAGCUUGGUGCAGAGUGCUUUGUAUGUAACAUUAGUGAAAUCGGCUUACUUCUCAAUACAGUGCCCC
rnacentral:lncRNA from 1 species